GAUGAACGCUGACAGAAUGCUUAACACAUGCAAGUCUUUGGCGAAGCUGUGCUUGCACAGCCUAGCCAAGGCGGACGGGUGAGUAACGCGUAAGGAACUUGCCCUGCAGUCAGGGAUAACAGACGGAAACGACUGAUAAGACCUGGUAAAGUCAGGCGGACUCAUGUCCAGCCUGAUGAAAAGAGAUGCUGCAGGAGAGCCUUGCGUCCUAUUAGCUUGUUGGUGGGGUAACGGCCCACCAAGGCGAUGAUAGGUAGCCGGCCUGAGAGGGUGGACGGCCACAAGGGGACUGAGAUACGGACCUUACUCCUACGGGAGGCAGCAGUGGGGAAUAUUGGACAAUGGGGGCAAUCCUGAGCCAGCAAUUCUGUGUGCACGAUGAAGGUUUUCGGAUUGUAAAGUGCUUUCAGCAGGGAAGAAAAAAUGACGGUACCUGCAGAAGAAGCGACGGCUAAAUACGUG
rnacentral:rRNA from 1 species